rnacentral:rRNA from 1 species
CCUACGGGAGGCAGCAGUGGGGAAUAUUGCGCAAUGGGCGAAAGCCUGACGCAGCGACGCCGCGUGAGGGAUGAAGGUCUUCGGAUCGUAAACCUCUGUUAGCAGGGAAGAACGGUCACUGUGCUAAUCAGCAGUGAAUUGACGGUACCUGCAAAGGAAGCACCGGCUAACUCCGUGCCAGCAGCCGCGGUAAUACGGAGGGUGCGAGCGUUAACCGGAAUUACUGGGCGUAAAGCGCUCGUAGGCGGUAUGUCAAGUCAAGGGUGAAAUCCCCGCGCUCAACGUGGGAACUGCCUUUGAAACUGGCAAACUGGAGUGUGUGAGAGGAUAGUGGAAUUCCAGGUGUAGGGGUGAAAUGCGUAGAGAUCUGGAGGAACAUCAGUGGCGAAGGCGACUAUCUGGCACAUAACUGACGCUGAGGAGCGAAAGCGUGGGUAGCAAACAGGAUUAGAUACCCGGGUAGUC